GUGGGGAAUAUUGGACAAUGGGCGCAAGCCUGAUCUAGCCAUGCCGCGUGAGCGAUGAAGGCCUUAGGGUUGUAAAGCUCUUUCGUGGGGGAAGAUAAUGACUGUACCCCAAGAAGAAGCCCCGGCUAACUCCGUGCCAGCAGCCGCGGUAAUACGGAGGGGGCUAGCGUUGUUCGGAAUUACUGGGCGUAAAGCGCACGUAGGCGGACUGGAAAGUCAGGGGUGAAAUCCCGGGGCUCAACCCCGGAACUGCCUUUGAAACUCCCAGUCUUGAGUUCGAGAGAGGUGAGUGGAAUUCCGAGUGUAGAGGUGAAAUUCGUAGAUAUUCGGAGGAACACCAGUGGCGAAGGCGGCUCACUGGCUCGAUACUGACGCUGAGGUGCGAAAGCGUGGGGAGCAAACAGGAUUAGAAACCCGGGUAGUCC
rnacentral:rRNA from 1 species